rnacentral:lncRNA from 10 species
UGUGGUAGCAUUGUGAGCAGCAAAACCUGUGCGACUGCAUCUGACAUCGCCAGGAUGGGGGCCCAACCAAGGUGAGGGCAAAGAGGACGGUAAGGGAGAAAGAAAGAAAGAAGGGAAGAUCCCCAGAGACGUGAAGAUGCAUGGAAUAACACGUGAAGAGAGGAAACUUCGGGCCUGUGGUCAAAAUGUGUUCACCACGGCAGACAACUGCUUGGGUGACAGCUUUGGCCUCUGGAUGAAUUCUCCUUGGCGAGCAAUCGUCCCACCUGUAGGUGCCUUCAUGAUCGUCUGUGUGCAGGGCACCAAGCAGGCCAUCUAAAGCCACUAAUCUCAAAGAGAGCUUACCCAGGGACAGGACUUUCCAAAAGGAAAGGAGCACAAUAGAAGAGAAUGGCUGCUGCUAAGUUCCAUCCAACAGUGGCCUCUUUUGAAAAGUCGUCCUCAUCCACAGAUGGUCAACAUUAUGAUGGAAUUUUGUUUUCCUCUCAUGUGAAUUUGGAGCUGAUAGAUGCUUCUCAGCUCCUUGCUGGGACCUCACUGACAAACCCGCUGGCCCCAGAACUACUUGUGACAUCAGGAUGACGCUUGGUACAAGCCAGGCACUGAGCUGGGCAUUGAGGAUGAAGAGAUGAAACACAAUUCUAGCAUCUAAAUAGACCUUGGUUGGUGAGUGGCCUUGGGAAAGUCAUUUGCAUCUCUCUGAGUCCCUGUGAAAUCAUGAAGGAAAAAAGUGCUAACAAUGUGAGAACUGAUGAUUAUUGUCAUAUGGACUCUUCAUUUUACACUAAAGGAAGUUGAGUUCCAGAGUGGGAUAUCAGACUCAAGGCCCAGACUUCACUUCUGGUCUCCUGACUUCCAAGUGAACAGUGUUGCAGCUUCCCUGACUGCAGUUAUAGGAGAAGACAGGGAGGAGAUAAAGAUGAGAGUGCCUCGGGAAGAGCAGGGAUGGAGGAGACAACCUGAGUCUUCUGAUCCAAAGGUAAAAACUGAAGAUACUGAGUAUUAGAUGAUGGGGCAAAAGGACUGCAGAAGUUGGGUAUUCAGAGCCUCAUAGAAAUGACGUGAAAAU